AUACGGAAGGUCCGGGCGUUAUCCGGAUUUAUUGGGUUUAAAGGGAGCGCAGGCGGCACUUCAAGCGUGACGUUAAAUUUCGGGGCUCACCCCCGUUAUGCGUCGCGAACUGUUGUGCUUGAGUAGGCGGCAGGGAGGCGGAAUUCGCGGUGUAGCGGUGAAAUGCUUAGAUAUCGCGAGGAACUCCGAUAGCGCAGGCAGCCUCCCGUUGCUUUACUGACGCUCAUGCUCGAAGGUGCGGGUAUCGAACAGGAUUAGAUACCCUGGUAGUCCGCACUGUAAACGAUGGAUGCCCGCUGUUGGGCCUUUUGGGUUCAGUGGCCAAGAGAAAUCGUUAAGCAUCCCACCUGGGGAGUACGCCGGCAACGGUGAAACUCAAAGGAAUUGACGGGG
rnacentral:rRNA from 1 species